AAUUCUCAAAAUAAAUCUUUUGUUAAUUCAAUUGGUUUCAUUUUGGACUUGGGGGUCUGCAGAUUAACCUCUGCUCCUCUUAAAUAAAUUAGCUGGGUCUCUGAGAGGUCGGUUCCACUCGGCGUGAUAAGUAUCACUCGCUGAGGACACUGUAAAAGGUGGCCGGGCUCACUGCAGAUCCGCUUCUAAUGGUCCAUUGAAUUGGACAAAUAAAAUUUAUG
rnacentral:misc_RNA from 1 species